GAGUUUGAUCGUGGCUCAGAUUGAACGCUGGCGGCAGGCCUAACACAUGCAAGUCGAGCGGAUGACGGGAGCUUGCUCCUUGAUUCAGCGGCGGACGGGUGAGUAAUGCCUAGGAAUCUGCCUGGUAGUGGGGGACAACGUUUCGAAAGGAACGCUAAUACCGCAUACGUCCUACGGGAGAAAGCAGGGGACCUUCGGGCCUUGCGCUAUCAGAUGAGCCUAGGUCGGAUUAGCUAGUUGGUGGGGUAAUGGCUCACCAAGGCGACGAUCCGUAACUGGUCUGAGAGGAUGAUCAGUCACACUGGAACUGAGACACGGUCCAGACUCCUACGGGAGGCAGCAGUGGGGAAUAUUGGACAAUGGGCGAAAGCCUGAUCCAGCCAUGCCGCGUGUGUGAAGAAAGGUCUUUCGGAUUGUAAAAGCACUUUAAAGUUGGGAGGAAGGGCAGUAAGUUAAUACCUUGCUGUUUUUGACGUUUACCGACAGAAUAAGC
rnacentral:rRNA from 1 species